rnacentral:rRNA from 1 species
GUAGUGACCUGCGGAGGAUCAUUACAAUUCAGUAGCUUGCUACUGUCGGGAGGUGCUGUAAGUCCGCAUAGUUUUAUUACUGAUGAGCGGCAGGCCCUCUGUCUGUACCCUUGUCUUUUGCGCACUCAUGUUUCCUCGGCGGGCUUGCUCGCCGAUAGGACAAACUUUAUAACCUUUUUAAUUUUCAAUCAGCGUCUGAAAAAACUUAAUAAUUACAACUUUCAACAACGGAUCUCUUGGUUCUGGCAUCGAUGAAGAACGCAGCGAAAUGCGAUAAGUAGUGUGAAUUGCAGAAUUCAGUGAAUCAUCGAAUCUUUGAACGCACAUUGCGCCCCUUGGUAUUCCAUGGGGCAUGCCUGUUCGAGCGUCAUUUGUACCCUCAAGCUCUGCUUGGUGUUGGGUGUUUGUCCUCUCCUCUGCGUUUGGACUCGCCUUAAAGCAAUUGGCAGCCAGUGUUUUGGUAUUGAAGCGCACCACAUUUUGCGAUUCUAGCCGACAAUACGUGCGUCCAUAAGCCUUUUUUCACUUUUGACCUCGGAUCAGGUAGGGAUACCCGCUGAACUUAAGCAUAUCAAUGACCGGAGGAA